AGAAACGUUCUCAGUCCAGUCUUCGAUCAAGGAAACAAAUCCGCAUUUGGUCACAAUCAACCAGGGUGAGCAGAGCACAAUGAUGAUCGAUUAAAACAGAUCAAAAUUUUCCAUUCAAGUAUCUGAGUACAUCCAGUCAAUGCAAAAACAACAUAAAUACCACCACAAGGACUAGUAAAAGCGUAUCAUCAAAACGGAUACUACAACAUAGUAUGCGGCCGCCUGAUGAAUUCGGUACAUCAACGACGUUUAGCAGAAGCGCUGGACUCAGCCGCCUUCUUCCUUUGCUUGAGCAGCUCGACUUUGCUCUUCUUCCUAUCAUUGCUAAUCUGCAAGGUCACAAAC
rnacentral:lncRNA from 1 species